rnacentral:rRNA from 1 species
UUAACCCGUGUUAAUAGGAAUUCGGCGUAAAGAGUGUUUUAGAUAUUAUUAAACUGAAAUUAAAAUAUGAUUUAGAUGUAAAAAGCUUAAAUUAUAAAUUAAAAUUCAACUACAAAAGUGAUUUCAUUAAAUCUUAUUACACGUGAGCUAAGAUCCAAACUAGGAUUAGAUACCCUACUAUGCUUAGCCCUAAACUUAGACAGUUACUUAACAAAACUGUACGCCAGAGAACUACGAGCCACAGCUUAAAACUCAAAGGACUUGGCGGUGCUUUAUACCCCCUAGAGGAGCCUGUUCUGUAAUCGAUAAACCCCGAUCAACCUCACCAAUCUUUGCUAAUUCAGCCUUUAUACCGCCAUCUUCAGCAAACCCUAAAAAGGAAAAAAAGUAAGCACAAUAAUCCAAAGCAUAAAAAAGUUAGGUCAAGGUGCAGCCAAUAGAUUGGGAUGAAAUGGGCUACAUUCUUUUUAAAAAAGUAUACGGAUAUUUUUAUGAAACUAAAAAUUGAAGGAGGAUUUAGCAGUAAAUUAAGAGUAGAGUGCUUAAUUGAAGUUGGCAAUGAAGCAUGCACACACCGCCCGUCACCCUCUUCAA